rnacentral:rRNA from 1 species
UACGAAGGGGGCGAGCGUUGUUCGGAUUUACUGGGCGUAAAGGGCGCGCAGGCGGCGAUUUUUGUCAGGCGUGAAAGCCCCGGGCUCAACCUGGGAACUGCGCUUGAAACGGGAUUGCUAGAGAUCGGGAGAGGAGAGUGGAAUUCCCAGUGUAGAGGUGAAAUGCGUAGAUAUCGGGAGGAACACCUGUGGCGAAAGCGGCGCACUGGACCACAACUGACGCUGAUGCGCGAAAGCUAGGGGAGCAAACAGG